AUGCGAAUCCUAGUGCGGGCAAAUUAUACCGUGAAACUGCGAAUAGCUCAUUAAAUCAGUUAUCGUUUAUUUGAAAAUACCUUACCGCUUGGAUAUCCGUGGUAAUUCUAGAGCUGAUACAUGCUGAAAACCCCGACUUCGGAAGGGAUGCGUUGAUUAGAUCAAAGCCCAAUGCCCUUCGGGGCUUUUGGGUGGUUCAUAAUAAUUUUUACAGAUCGCAUAGCCUUGCGCUGGCGACGGUUUAUUCAAAUUUCUGCCCUAUCAACUUUCGAUGGUAAGGUAUUGGCUUACCAUGGUUUCAACGGGUAACGGGGAAUUAGGGUUCAAUUCCAGAGAGGUAGCCUGAGAAACGGCUACCCCAUCCAAGGAAGGCGGUA
rfam:Alternaria alternata strain SRC1lrK2f unplaced genomic scaffold CC77scaffold_60, whole genome shotgun sequence.